rfam:Cricetulus griseus cell line CHO-K1, whole genome shotgun sequence.
UAGGACAGUCAGGGCCAGGUGCCUCCCCCUGAGCCCCGGGUAACUCUUAACGUCGGGGGGCA